rnacentral:rRNA from 1 species
GAUGAACGCUAGCGGCAGGCCUAAUACAUGCAAGUCGGACGGGAUUUGGGAGCUUGCUCCUAAUGAGAGUAGCGCACGGGUGCGUAACACGUAUGUAACCUACCUUAAUCAGGGGGAUAGCCUCUCGAAAGAGAGAUUAACACCGCAUAACAUAUUUUUAUGGCAUCGUAGAAAUAUCAAAUAUUUAUAGGACUAAGAUGGGCAUGCGGAACAUUAGCUAGUUGGUAAGGUAACGGCUUACCAAGGCUACGAUGUUUAGGGGAUCUGAGAGGAUGACCCCCCACACUGGUACUGAGACACGGACCAGACUCCUACGGGAGGCAGCAGUAAGGAAUAUUGGUCAAUGGGCGCAAGCCUGAACCGGCCAUGCCGCGUGCAGGAAGACGGCCCUAUGGGUUGUAAACUGCUUUUGUACCGGAAUAAACCCUUUUACGUGUAGAAGGCUGAAUGUACGGUAAGAAUAAGGAUCGGCUAACUCCGUGCCAGCCGCCGCGGUAA